AAUGAACGCUGGCGGCAGGCCUAACACAUGCAAGUCGAGCGCCCCGCCAGGGAAGCGGCUGACGGGUGAGUAACGCGUGGCAACGUACCUUUUGGUUCGUAACAACCCCGGGAAACUGGAGCUAAUACCGGAUAAGCUCUAACGGAGAAAGAUUUAUCGACGAAAGAUCGGCCCGCGACUGAUUAGCUAGUUGGGUAGGUAACGGCGCACGAAGGCGACGAUCAGUAGCUGUUCUGAGAGGAUGAGCAGCCACACUGGGACUUGGAAACGGCCCAGACUCCUACGGGAGGCAGCAGUGGGGAAUAUUGGACAAUGGGGGCAAGCAUGAACCAGCCAUGCCGCGUGAGUGAUGAAGGCCUUAGGGUUGUAAAGCUCUUUUGUCCGGGAAGAUAAUGACUGUACCGGAAGAAUAAGCCCCGGCUAACUUCGUG
rnacentral:rRNA from 1 species